rnacentral:rRNA from 1 species
CACCGCCCGUCACAUCACGAAAGCCAGUUGUACUAGAAGCCGGCGAUUCAACCCGCAAGGGAGAUAGCCGUCCAAGGUAUGACUGGUGAUUGGGGUG